AACGAACGCUGGCGGCAUGCCUAACACAUGCAAGUCGAACGAGACCUUCGGGUCUAGUGGCGCACGGGUGCGUAACGCGUGGGAACCUGCCCUUAGGUUCGGAAUAACUCCCCGACAGGGGUGCUAAUACCGGAUAAUGUCUUCGGACCAAAGAUUUAUCGCCUUUGGAUGGGCCCGCGUUGGAUUAGCUAGUUGGUAGGGUAAAAGCCUACCAAGGCGACGAUCCAUAGCUGGUCUGAGAGGAUGAUCAGCCACACUGGGACUGAGACACGGCCCAGACUCCUACGGAAGGCAGCAGUGGUGAAUAUUGGACAAUGGGCGAAAGCCUGAGCCAGCAAUGCCGCGUGAGUGAUGAAGGCCUUAGGGUUGUAAAGCUCUUUUACCCGGGAUGAUAAUGACAGUACCGGGAGAAUAAGCUCCGGCUAACUCCGU
rnacentral:rRNA from 1 species